GGAGGGUGUAGCUCAGUGGUAGAGCGCAUGCUUAGCAUGCACGAGGUCCUGGGUUCAAUCCCCAGUACCUCCA
rnacentral:tRNA from 1 species